CCUACGGGUGGCAGCAGUGGGGAAUAUUGCACAAUGGGGGGAACCCUGAUGCAGCGACGCCGCGUGAAGGAAGAAGUAUUUCGGUAUGUAAACUUCUAUCAGCAGGGAAGAAAAUGACGGUACCUGACUAAGAAGCCCCGGCUAACUACGUGCCAGCAGCCGCGGUAAUACGUAGGGGGCAAGCGUUAUCCGGAUUUACUGGGUGUAAAGGGAGCGUAGGCGGCAGUGCAAGUCAGAAGUGAAAGCCCAAGGCUCAACCAUGGGACUGCUUUUGAAACUGUACAGCUAGAUUGCAGGAGAGGUAAGUGGAAUUCCUAGUGUAGCGGUGAAAUGCGUAGAUAUUAGGAGGAACAUCAGUGGCGAAGGCGACUAUCUGGCACAUAACUGACGCUGAGGAGCGAAAGCGUGGGUAGCAAACAGGAUUAGAUACCCGGGUAGUC
rnacentral:rRNA from 1 species